rnacentral:lncRNA from 1 species
GUUUUCGUCUAAGUCGAUUCUAAAUAUAUUAUAACCUGCUAAAUAUGCUUGAAAAAAUGGCGGAGUGUGUAUUGAAAACUGUACACAAUUGACAUAUAUUGGAUAUCAGAGGUUUUAAAGACUCGGAUUGUGGACGCCCUGUUGAGAUAUGAAGGGAAAUAUGCAAUGAAACGGACCGGUAAUUAGUAAAUGCCACCAGAGUUAUUUGGAGUGCUACAUAAACAACAUUCAUACGGAAUACUUGACUUCAAGUAUUUAAGUACCUACUUGAAUUAAAAGUCGUGGGAUCUACUUUAUUGCUUGCUCAGAGGAAAAUGUUGACUAAUCAGAAACAAACACGUCGAUUUAAUUAUUUAUUUGCGUAAAUAUAUAAUUCGAUUUCAUUUUAUGUUCCGAUAGUCUAGGACUUACAAAAAGACAUUUAAUAUGAGUAAUCCAUAUACGGAUAACUAUCUUCCCAGCAAGGCGAAUACUACCACCACCGAUAAUAUUUUGAAUAUGUUUAGUGAUGACGAAGUAUAUACAGCAACAACUGGAUUGCAAAUGAAGAAUAAGAUGAAAACUAACAAAAAGCCAACGAAUAAAAAAAGGCAACCAAAAGGCCGGUUAUAAAACAAGACAAUAAGAGAGCGACAACGACUUUACAGGUCGGAGAAAGUGGUUACAUCGAAUUGACAAACCGACUUACGGAAUUUAACAACGUGUACCAGAGUGUAAUAGCGUUGAAAAAUAAGUACGCCACCGACACCAAUAUUCAAAAAGACAUAAAAAAUUUCGAAGAAUCGUUGAAAAACAUGAUGUGUAAUAUCGAACAACGCAUUAAUCAAAUACCACAUUGUGGCCUUUUUAUGAAGUCUUCGAUGUAAAUUCGCCAAAAAUCCUAGGUUCGUGCGUACACAGUUUUUGUUGUUUAACAUGUUUUCCCACCUAUUGCAAUCAGUCGACCGGAUCUAGGCAUUGUUUGAUAUGAUAUGUAAUAUGGAAGUAGACGUGACCAUCUUAAAAUAAGGGAACAGACACAACGAUUCUAGAACAACAUCGAGUGUAAGAACUAAGUUAGGCAAGCUUAUGGCGAUGGAUUAAUUUUGGAAUGGCGGUUUCUUUGUCUGAAUAUAAUUGUCUCCGGUUUUUUUUUUUGUUUUUUUUUUGUUGUUUUUUUUUUUUGCAUAAUUGUAUUAAUAUAUGUAAUAGCUGCAUUUUUGAUGAUGUGGUAAACUUGCACACCAUAUGUAAAAGUUAUUUACAUAGUAAAUAGCGGGGGCAAAGUACUUGUGUAUCUAAGUUAUAGUAAAAGGAUCAUGAUAUAACAAUAAGUACCCAUUAAUCUUCAUACGAAUUACGACUACUUACUACAAUGCGUUUCUAUGCCAGUCAUGCACACGGGGGACGGGGGAAAAACCAAGGCAUUAUUGCUGCGCCUACAGUAAAAUGUCCAAUUCUAGAAACGAUAUAAUGUCUUCCUGGAUAGCAAAAUAUGAUUGGAUGAAAACUCGGAUCUAAUAUAAUUAUAAAUAGUUUAACAAUAAAAACACAUGCUCGUUACAACAUGAGACUCCGAAUGAGUACUGUUGUAAAAAAAAUAAAAGAGAGCGAAUGUAGAUAUUUGGUAACAUGCAUUGGAAACUCUUUUUUUUAAUUCUAAUCGAACAGUUGAAGAGCUGGAUUUAAGAUUUCAAAAUACGUAUACGGACUAGAACAAAAUGAAGACUAUUUAUUUUCUCAAGAUCAGCUAGAGAGUGCUGGACAAGAUACGCGUGUUUUUGCGAGCCUACUUGCAGGAAAACUCAAAAACGCCGCUUUUGAAAACUGGUAUCAACUGGUGUUGCUGCGUACGCGUUUGUGUCAGAUGUUUCUGUAUUUGAAUGAAAUCGGUGAAGAAGACAGAAACAUUUUGUUUGUUGAUGCAUUCAUUACCCGUCUUGAUGAAAUGGAGUUUAAUAGCUGGAUAAGAUCUGCGGGCGGAAAAUGGAAUAACUUUUUAAAUCAAUGCGAUAAAGUGAGAAGUGAAAUACCCAGAUAAGAUAUUAAGACUUCAAAAUGAAAUAACUUUAUGAAAGAUAGAUUGAUAAUGCAAUAUUUUCAUUUGUAUGUAUUUUGCGUAUGAUGUUAAUGAUAAUGUUGUCACUUUCCCUUUUACUUGAUCAAUUGUUUAUAGACAUGUUAUUCGUAAAAAAUACAUUGAA